rnacentral:rRNA from 1 species
UUGGCGGACGGGUGAGUAACACGUGGGUAACCUGCCUGUAAGACUGGGAUAACUCCGGGAAACCGGGGCUAAUACCGGAUGCUUGUUUGAACCGCAUGGUUCAAACAUAAAAGGUGGCUUCGGCUACCACUUACAGAUGGACCCGCGGCGCAUUAGCUAGUUGGUGAGGUAACGGCUCACCAAGGCAACGAUGCGUAGCCGACCUGAGAGGGUGAUCGGCCACACUGGGACUGAGACACGGCCCAGACUCCUACGGGAGGCAGCAGUAGGGAAUCUUCCGCAAUGGACGAAAGUCUGACGGAGCAACGCCGCGUGAGUGAUGAAGGUUUUCGGAUCGUAAAGCUCUGUUGUUAGGGAAGAACAAGUACCGUUCGAAUAGGGCGGUACCUUGACGGUACCUAACCAGAAAGCCACGGCUAACUACGUGCCAGCAGCCGCGGUAAU